GCGCAGCAGGCGAGAAUUUUUCUCAAUGGGGGAAACCCUGAAGGAGCGACGCCGCGUGGAGGAUGAAGGCUUUCGGGUUGUAAACUCCUGUCAUUUGGGAACAAGGUGCACACGUUAACUGCGUGGGUAUUGAUAGUACCAGAAGAGGAAGGGACGGCUAACUCUGUGCCAGCAGCCGCGGUAAUGCAGAGGUCCCAAGCGUUGUUCGGAUUCAUUGGGCGUAAAGGGUGCGUAGGUGGCGCUGUAAGUCGGGUGUGAAAUUUCGAGGCUUAACCUCGAAACUGCAUUCGAUACUGCGGUGCUUGAGGACUGGAGGGGAGACUGGAAUUCAUGGUGUAGCAGUGAAAUGCGUAGAGAUCAUGAGGAAGACCAGUGGCGAAGGCGGGUCUCUGGACAGUUCCUGACACUGAGGCACGAAGGCCAGGGGAGCAAACGGGAUUAGAUACCCGGGUAGU
rnacentral:rRNA from 1 species